CUCAAAGUGAAGUGUCGUCUCAUUAUUGGGGGAAGGAUUUAUUGUAUGCUGUUCCAGUUUGACUGCUAGGAGAGUAAACCUAUUCGUAUGGUUCCUAUUCAACUGUCUACAGCAUUCAUAUGCUUGAGAGCAUUCAUAUGCUCCUACAGUUCGGUGGUUGUGGUGUCUGCUGCAGUGCUUGGAGUCCUCAGGAAGCGCUAGGAGCAUCCUUCAACGGAGGUACCCAGUCGGGGUGCCAGGCGAUCCGUUACAUUGGUGGCAGCGGUGGGAUGGCGUCCUAGUGCGAGGUAAAGCAGCUCAGAGACACAGUUCGUUUGGAUUUACAAAUUGAGGGCAACGCUAGCACACGUGCAGCGACCCUGGGAGCAGAGGUAUCCAGCGACUUGGAGCAGACAAGUAUGGAAGGCUCUGGCGAUGAUUGGAUGGCCGAGGUGAGGCAGCGAGUGGCCCAGUAUGGGGAUGAUUUACCCAUGGAGGUACGCCGGGUGAUCUGGAACCAGGUCACGGCCGAGCGAAACACAAGGCUGGCCCGAGAAUUCCGGCUGGCGAAAGAGAGAGAGUAUGCUCAGCGGAAGGAGUGUUAUAGCAGCUGAAAGGGUUAAUGUUGUAAUGGACUCUAAUCCCCUCGGUUCUCGAUCCCUCGGUCACCAUAAUCAAUGUUGAUGGAGAAUCAUUUGUAAGCAAUAACACACGGACAACAGCUUUACAAGACUCUCAAAUGAGUGUAUUCCAGAGCUGGCUUUUAUACAUAGUUUGCUUACAUUAGCCAUGGUAUAUGCAAAUACAGUACAGACUAUAAGAUUUAUUACUUCCUUGUAUUACGUUAUUCUGACAAUGGAAAGAUAAGCUUUUGCAUACGUCUGGAAAAGAAUAUCCUUAAAAUCGGAAUGGGCAAGACAUCCUGAAAUUUUAGCAUUGUCUUACAUCCUAUAGAAGAAAUACCUUAGUCUGUCACAGUCAGCAUAUUGACUUUAAGUAUUCAAUAUCCCUUCAGUCAGCAAUAAUCAUGUUAUAAACCUUAUAAAAGCAUAAAAUACAUAUAAACAAGUUAACUAUUUAAUAUUCUUACAUUCCCCUCUUUGAGCAAUAAAACAAUUGCUCAUCUUAUCGAUAAAAUCUUACCAGGACAGAGAAACUUCCACAUGGUAUUUUCAGGGGUGCUAGUCACUCCCUGCGGGACUUUCAUUAAUUUCUUCACCUCGAUUCCCAUGUGGUAAUUCCUAAGGCCUAGUUUAAAAAUGGGUUGAUACUCUACAGUGGCAGAGAGGAGAAUUUCUAAUUGUUUCUGUUCUGCAUUAUGGAUUAAUUUCUGUACUCUCUUCCUCAAUGUACAAGUAAAGUGACAGUUAUAUAAAAUCAUACACAAUAAAAUCAGGACUAUAAUAACAAAAUGAUAGAAGAAUGAUUUCAUUAUCUGGGAUCCAGUAGGGGACCAACCAGUAAAGCAUUGUACCAAUGAUGGGCUAAAUCAUUCUGAAUUUGUGAACUCACCUUAAGGAGUUCUCCUUUUAGGAUAUGUGUGGCUACCUGUGUGUGUUAUCUUUGGGAAAAAUAUAGUCCCCUGUGUAUGUGGGUGCCCACCAGGUUAAAUUCUUGGCAAAAAGAUCAUAAACUGGUACUGGUAAUGUGUUAAAUUGACAAGCUAAUUUAACAUCCUUUGAUAAUGUAUGAUAUAAUGUUAAAUAGCAUGAGCAUGAAAAACUGUGAAACAUUACCAGUUAACCAUCCAUUGCAUUUACUGGAUUGGGGUUUUAGAAGUAACCAAUCAUUAUCUGUGAGGUUACGCUUUCCUCUAAUCUUCUCUAGUUUAGGAAUCAUUAGUGUGUUUUCUAAUGCCAAUCCUUGUUGUUGUAUCCAUAAAUACCUGAUGGCACAAGUACUCCAGUUACUUAGACCUGUAGUGAAUUUCAUAGUUGCAACAGUUAAAUUAUCUAAAUAAUUAUACAUUGAUUUAUCUAAAUCCAAUCCUGUAACCUGUGAUUUAACAACAAUUGGAGCCCAGUUUGCAGUAGCAUGGAAACCAGUCCCUAUAUGCAUGCUGGCUGUGUUUAACUUAUUCUUGAGGGUCUCCAUAUCUAUAACUAUUUAGUAUACCCAUAGUGGUUCCAGCACCAUCUAACAGUGUGUCAUACCAUUCCCUUUUCUGCCUUUGUUUGUUGUAUUACAUAAUGUUACAACAAGAGUAGUGAUUUUUAAUGACACAUGUACAGCUUGUAAGAAGGCAGUUGUAUUAACACAUGUGGACGGAAUAGGUGUGUCUGUGUCGUGUUUGACUUUUGGUUCUAUGGUAGAGGAUAAAGGACAGUAAGGUGUAAAAAUAUAAGGUAGUGUAUAGUUCUCAAUUGCAGUGUCGUUCAUAAUGACUAACAUUUGUCCCCUUCUCCGAUUAAUGAUACCAGUUAUAUAAUCAUUAUUAAAAGUAAUAAGGCCUGUCUGUUUACAUUGAUAUGCAACCUUAACUGUGCACAUUUCUGCGUUAUAAGAUCUAACAAUUUUCUGUGAACCUUUAAACAAACAUAAUGCAUCGGUUUCAUUAGCUGUAGACACAUUCCAUAUGGGUAACUGGUACUUAUAAGGGUUAUUAUUUAUCCAAUUCAUCCAAAUGCGUUCAGUGAAUGAAUGAUUGCAUAUUACAUGCUGAUAGAAAGGUGGUGGAGAAAGGUUCUUGAGGGGGCGUGUGUGACGAAUGCUAGAUGAGGGGCUAAGGCCUAAUUGGGCUGGGGGUAUUGAAGAAUUGUUCAUCAUGUCAGAGUCUUUUUCCAGAACUUGCCAUUGACUUGUACUCAUAAUGGCAUUCAAGGAACAAUAUCAGAGGGAGUAUAACAACUCCAGAAAGCAUAGCACACAACAUAAUCUUGGUCUCAGGUACGUAUGAUCCUCUCAAUCUACGAUAUGGUGUAAAAGCCAUGAUGCUUCGCUAAGGGGGACUUCUUCUGUUUCCGAGCGAGGAGUGGUGUUGUCUUCCUUGGCUCCCCUCUUUGGACACAGCUUCACUCGGGAUGCGUGAAUCCAGAUGUCGUGGGAAUCUGUGAGGACAGCGGUUCUGGUUACAGCAAUCACAGUAGCAGGUGGUCCAAAAGGGUAUCCUCCUUUCUUGGUCCUGUUCAGCUGACGGAUAUACACCUUGUCACCGGGCUGGUAUGGAUGAGUAGGUUCCUGUGAAGGUAAGGGAAACUGCGAAGAAACAUUGCCAUAUAUACCAUUCAGUUUCAUCAACAAUUCCUGUACAUAUUGUUCUUGUAUUAGCUGUAAAUCCCCAGACAUUAUAACAAGCGGUUCCCUGGCCCAGGGUGUGGGAAAAGGUCGUCCCAUCAGAAUCUCAAAUGGAGAUAAUUUAGUCACCUUGUGGGGAGUCAUUCUUAUCUCAGCUAAAAUAGCUGGUAGAUAUCUAGUCCAAUUUACCCAUGUUCCUGGGUAAAUUCUGGGCUUUUCCUUAAUAGUCCUAUUCAUCCUUUCAACUACCCCUGUAUUCUGUGGAUGAUAGGGUAUAUGAAACUGCCAGGUAACUUGCAAGAAUUUAGCAAGUUCCUGGGCAACCCUACUGGCAAAAACCGGGCCAUUAUCAGAGCCAAUCUGCAGAGGGCAGCCAUACCUGGGAAUAAUUUCAGUAACAAUAAUCUUCACUAGCAUCUUCCCUAGAUGUCACAAAGGCCUCAUGCCAUCUACUAAACUGAUCAACUAUGACCAGUAAGUAUUGCUGUUUCUUACCAAUUUUGGAUACAUGAAUAAAAUCAAUCUGUAAGUGUGUAAAAAGAGCAGCGUUCACACGAUCUUACAAAAGACUGUACAUGCUGCCUGAGAUUCCUAAUAUAAAAUGAAUUCAUGAGGAAUUGAAUGGUGCUUGCUAUGUGCCUGACUGAUGAAAAUAAAUCAGCUUGCUUCAAGUAUGCCUAUUCUUCAAGUAUGCCUAUUCUCCCCUCUUUAGAGAACAGAUCAUUUUGAUCUUUCUCUAAACCUUGUUUAAUCCAAAAGACAGAUUCUGGGUAUUUAAAAAAAAGAAUCUCAUAACCACUGAAGCGCUGGGCUGUCAUGUGUUGUGUGGUGAGAUUUGUCAGCUGAGUGACCUGGUGACUGGCAUAAAGUAUUGUAGGAUGCCCUAGUGUGAUAGUAGUAGCAGUUUCAACAGCCAUUGCACAUGCUAUCAAUGCUCUGAGACACGCCGGCAUACCCUGUACCGGAGCUCAAACUACUUUGGAAAAGAAUGCUAUGGGACGCAUACCGCCUCCUUGCUCUUGUGCACAGACUGCGGCCAUGGUUUUAAAAUUGUCCCAAGCAUACAAAUGAAAUGGUUUACAAUAAACAGGUAGUCCUAAAGCCUGGGCUUGCACAAUAACAACUGUAAGGGCAAUAUAUGCAGCUAGCAUGUCUGGUGACCAGCAGACAUUUUCAGGGCUGUCAGAACGUACAGCCUCCCUUAGGAUUGAGUCAUAAUGGGAGCAUUCAGGGAUCCAUUGGCGGCAGUAAUUAAUCAUGCCGAGGAAGGUGAGCAACUCCUUCCGAGUAGUGGGUGUAGGAAUCCUCUGAAUGACCUCAAUACGUUUUGGACUCAAUUGUCUGGUGCCUGAAGCCAGAACAAAACCUAAGUAUUCAACCUUUGAUUUACACAAUUGCAUUUUGUGUUUAACAACCUUGUGACCUACAGUUGCUGACAGUAUCCACAGUGCUUGCCUCAUAGCUAGGGCUACAUAACAACAAAUCAUCAACAUUUUGCAAAAAGGACGGAACCAUGACCGAUGGUCCAUGUUUUUUAGAGUAUGUUGGAGUACCAGCGAAUAAACAGCUGGGGAAUCCACAUAGCCUUGGGUAAGCGUGUCCAGGUAGACUGACAGCCUUCAAAAAGUAAAAACCAUAAGUAGCUGUGUCUCUUGAUCAAUAGGUAUAGAAAAAAUGCAUUACUUAAAUCAAUGACAGUGAAGCAAGUGGCACCAUGUGGAAUGGCUGUAAUGAGGGAUGUCACAUCAGGGACAAUGGGUGAAAUGGGCACAAUUAAACUAUUCAGGGCUCUAAAGUCCUGAACUAAGCGAUAUGCUGGCCAGUGGUGUUGGGAGUGGGUCUGGUGUUGUUCUUGCCUACAGGGCAUAUUUUGAGAAAGGUGGGGUUGUUGGGGUGUGUGGGGUUUCCUGGGGUUUCCUGGGGUUUCCUGGGGUGUGGACACUCAUUCCUCCAGUGGCCAUAUUGGCCACAGUUGAAACAAGUGUUCCUGUCUAUUCCUCCUUGGUUACCCCUGCCCCUAUAACCCUGAUUUCCCUGUCUCCAUCCCCUUGCCCCUCUUUGACCACCCCUUCCACGGGCUUUAUGUGCUCCAUCCCAUCCUCGCUCUCAGCCUGUGUAGGUGGCAAUCCCUGAGCAUAAUAAGCAACCUUACUUUCCUAAAUCUUUUCUUAAUUCAAAACAACCUGCAUUUUCCUUUUCUAUAACCUUGGUAAGAAAAUCUGAGCUAUCCAAAUUGGCCCAGUCUGAAAUCAAUUGUUUCACAAGCAAAUAAUACUGUGGCAACAUAUUACCAAGGCAUGACUGUAUUUUAAAGAGAUCUAUAUCAUCUCCAGACAUCAAACCUGCCUCAUCCUUCCAACACUUGUAAAAUUUCUUUACAAAAAUCAUAUUACCAAUCUCUUCCUUUGCAUCUUGCUUAUAUGCCAAAGCAGUGAAUAUAGACUACCUAUUCUUCCAUAAUCCCAACAUUUCAGCUUCCACCUUGUUCCAAAUUUUAGCACAUCUUACUGAAGUACUAAGCUCAUAAUCACCAAUUCAUUUCAAACCAUAUAACUCAUACUCAGCAUCCAAUGUAAUAUUACACGUCAUCUCACAAAGCAAUAUUUUUGUAAAAACACAUAAUGGGUACCCAGCAGAUAUGCCAAUACAGAAAUCACAUUUAUGGGCACACAACUACACACUCUGUCUCCCUCCUAGGAAACACGGAUAGACACAAUAUAAAAGCAAUCUUAAACUAACACCUCUAAAUCUCCAACUACUCUUGGCCAAAACGCUAGUAUUCAACAACUAAUAAAACAGUUAUUUGCUAGGUUAUUUGGCUGUCAUUCUUAUCAGUAUCACUAGACUGUGACAAACUGAUUCACAUAUAAUUUAAAACAAUACAGCAACAUAUAAAUUAAACCACUUUCAAAUUAAACUGCACACUUAUCACACAUUAUCACAAUCACCAUUUACACAAAAUAAAGAGUUAACAGCUGUAUUCAUAACAUAUUAUUGGAAAGUAUACCAAUUUUAGUUUAGAUUUAUUUUAGGUAUUCUUAUGUGUACAUUUUCUUAAUUAACUUCAUUACUUUAAUCUACUAUAGUAUUAUAUUUAAAGAAAGGAUCCAUUUAUAUAGCGCGCUCAUAACUCAACUAUUUGUAUAAAACUUCCAUUAACUAAUCUGAGAUGAUGCUGCAUCAACUUAAAUCUUACAGAAAUUGAACAAACAUCUGGACCAGAUUAAACAGACAUGGUUUCACCUGAAUCUUUCAGAACUCUCAGAGACUUAAAAAUUUAUACUAUACCAUGUUUUAAAGGCAUGGCAAACCUUUAGACCGGUCAGUCUCCAAGAGCCCUUUGUAAUACAGGUAAAAACCUUUUGUCCAUGAUGUCUGAUUCAGGCUAUAUACCACAAUUUAAAAUAACACAUAAUGUGAGACAUAGAAGACACAAGCAGUAGUUAUUACACUGGAUCAUUUAAAAGGAACCUGUUGCAAUAAAAGGUUAGUUUACAGUGCAAAAUAAAGCAUGUGUUGGACCGCUGAAAAUGUAAAUGUUGCUCUGUUAUUUUCAAACAUAAAUUAUAUUUACAGUAUGGAUCCUCUGCAACAAACACACAGGGCAGGGAAGAUGUGCUGAUUGGUGUUUCUAUACAAUUAAUCCCAUAUGGGGAAUUAACUUUCAAAUACUAAUGAAGUGACUUUUUGUCUCAGUUAUAAAAUAUACUGAGCUCAUCAUGCAAACAAUGCAACACAUUUACACUAUCCCACUCUCAUAAUAAGUGUAGUGGGCUUAUAGUAUUUUUAAAGCAACAAUCAUACCAGGCACAUAGAUCCCAUGUGAAAUAACUUACAAUAAAACAGAGUAAUAAACUUAUACUUCUAUGCGACAGAAAGAAUAAAGCAAAAAGAUUUAAGUAGGUCUAUCAGGUACAACCUAUGAGUCAUUUCUUUUCUAAUAUACAGUACUGCUAUCUUGCAGAAAGAUAAGUCCUGCGCUCACUCCCAUCACUACUGGACAGCAGCAAGGACUACAGUACACAUCAGCCCCAAUAUAUGGUAAAAACCAAAGAAAAACAAGUUACCUGCGUUCUCUCCUUAAUCCCUAUGUAUUUUUAAAACCUCCAUUUGUUUAAAAGUACUGCUAUCUUAUAUAUACACAUAUACAUAUACACACACAUAUAUACAUACAUAUACACAUAUAUACAUACACACACAUAUACAUGUACAUAUAUUGGUCACUCAGGACAUGAACUCACAUUUCCCAUACUGCUGACUCAGAGUGGGGACACUACUAACUUACCAAAGUGUGUCCCCAAUAUAGACAAACAAUCACCCACAAAAAACACUUAAGACAAACAAAGGUGACCGGGAGAAAGAGAAGUUUGGGUUAUACUUAAAGAUCUACAAACCGUGCUACUCAGAACACCUAUAGACUUAAUAAACCAGAGACCUCUUAUGGUCUCAAAACCUGUAUCUACCUGAGAUACCCUGUAUCUAUCUUAGAUACUAACCUGGGUUACCAAAACCCUAUAUAUUUAGACCAAAUGUCUAAUAAACCGGAGACCUCUUAUAGUCUCAAUAUAAACCGGAGACCUCUCAUGGUCUCAAUAUAACUAGAGUCCUUAGACCUUUCCUAUCUACUGGAUACAGACUUACUGAACCAAAGGGGGGUCAUAGACAAUCAGCGUCAAAUAAGACACAAAAAGGCUACUCACCGCAAAUGGUUUUGCUGAUCCAACUUCUAUCCCACUUCUAGACACCAAGCUGAAAGGGUUAAUGUUGUAAUGGACUCUAAUCCCCUCGGUUCUCGAUCCCUCGGUCACCAUAAUCAACGUUGAUGGAGAAUCAUUUGUAAGCAAUAACACACGGACAACAGCUUUACAAGACUCUCAAAUGAGUGUAUUCCAGAGCUGGCUUUUAUACAUAGUUUGCUUACAUUAGCCAUGGUAUAUGCAAAUACAGUACAGACUAUAAGAUUUAUUACUUCCUUAUAUUACGUUAUUCUGACAAUGGAAAGAUAAGCUUUUGCAUACGUCUGGAAAAGAAUAUCCUGAAAUCGGAAUGGGCAAGACAUCCUGAAAUUUUAGCAUUGUCUUACAUCCUAUAGAAGAAAUACCUUAGUCUGUCACAGUCAGCAUAUUGACUUUAAGUAUUCAAUAUCCCUUCAGUCAGCAAUAAUCAUGUUAUAAACCUUAUAAAAGCAUAAAAUACAUAUAAACAAGUUAACUAUUUAAUAUUCUUACAGCAGCCGAGUAGAGGCUGCAUCCGAGGAGGCUAGCCGUCUCCCCCUGUGGCGGCCGCAGGAACCCGAAGUAGGGGUCCUCAUAGACUGGUCCUGUGAGGAACCACAACAGGCAUGUGGAGAUGGGACCGGCCCAGAUCCCCAGCAGCAGCCGGAGUUGCCAGGUGCGGAAGCAGGUGGUCCUUACUCGCAAAUGUUGAGGGACCUCACAGACUGGUCCUGGGCAGACCCACAGAUGGCAGGUGGAGAUGGGACGGCGGUCUCUC
rnacentral:lncRNA from 1 species